AGUGAACGCUGGCGGUAGGCCUAACACAUGCAAGUCGAACGGCAGCACAGUAAGAGCUUGCUCUUACGGGUGGCGAGUGGCGGACGGGUGAGGAAUACAUCGUAAUCUACUUUUUCGUGGGGGAUAACGUAGGGAAACUUACUCUAAUACCGCAUACGACCUACGGGUGAAAGCAGGGGAUCUUCGGACCUUGCGCGAUUGAAUGCGCCGAUGUCGGAUUAGCUAGUUGGCGGGGUAAAGGCCCACCAAGGCGACGAUCCGUAGCUGGUCUGAGAGGAUGAUCAGCCACACUGGAACUGAGACACGGUCCAGACUCCUACGGGAGGCAGCAGUGGGGAAUAUUGGACAAUGGGCGCAAGCCUGAUCCAGCCAUACCGCGUGGGUGAAGAAGGCCUUCGGGUUGUAAAGCCCUUUUGUUGGGAAAGAAAAGCAGCAGGUUAAGACCCCGCUGUUCUGACGGUACCCAAAGAAUAAGCACCGGCUAACUUCGUG
rnacentral:rRNA from 1 species